rnacentral:SRP_RNA from 1 species
GCCUGGCAUUGUGGUACAUACCUAUAAUCCCUGCAACCAGGGAGGCGGAGAAUCUCUUGAGUUCAAGAGUUCUGAGCUUCAGUGGGCUAAGUCACUUAUAUCUCUGCACUAAAUUCAGCAUUGAUAUCAUGAGACCCAAGGAGUGGGGAUAAUAGAUUGCCCAAGUUGGAGCACUCUGGCUCAUGUCAGAAAUGCAGCAGGUCAGAGCUCCUGUGCCAAUGAAAGUGGGAUUGAGCCCAUAAAUAGCCUCCUACACUGCCAGCCUGGGCAAUAUGCAGAGACCUGAU